AGCAAAGCAGAAGCGUAUUCGAUGAAAAUGAGAAUUUGAAGAUUGACUAGGGCGAUACUCAGUGUUGAAAAGUUUUAAACUUUCAUUACGAAGGAGCUGAAGGAUUGCGCGCGAGGAACUCGAGUGUGCGGUACUGUUUUAAAAGUAGAGACGAUUGGUACAAGAGAACAACAAUGAAUACUGAUUGUAAAGCAAAUCGGGAGGAAGUGUCUGAAUCCAUGGCCAUUUCAACCGCGAUACGCCGUGCGUUGGAGUUGGAAACAGGAUAGUCUGAUGCUGAAACGUCCAAGUGAGUAGUUACUAAGCGAAACCUCAUCUGACGGUGAUUUCAAGCUAUCGACUGACACGCACAGACGCUGAAAGUGACGAAGUGAAUGUUUAAUAAAUAUGGAAAGGCAAUCAUGAUGCGAGAAAAUGGAUAUCGUAAUGUAAGGUGAUUUUAAACCGUGAUUUUAGAUCGAUAAAUAAUUUUUGAAGUAGUAAUGGUCACUUGCCUGAAACCGAUAUUUGUUUUAACGUCUCUCGCGAGAAUCUGUGGCGAUGAUUGUGUGAAAAGCAUUACAGCUAAGGGCAUUUAAAAUAACAUUUUUAUCCUGAAAUAUGUCAUGUUUCGUACAAGAAAAUCUUAAAAUCACGAACACGUGAAGAGCAUCUUUAAUUAAAUAAAACAUGUUUAAAAUCGAACAGAGCAUACUAUAUUUGAAGGAAUGAUGACGGUUAGUGUAUCAAGUAAAUUAGCAAAAGCAUUGGCUCUACGUAGGCGUUAUUAGGAAAGCUUACAAACUUGACUUUCCUUUUGGAGACGUUUCUGGAAACCAUGUAAACGAUGAGGAUCUUUGUAUUAUAAUUCAUGCCACCUGAAUACAAGAUUCAUCGUAUAUCUUUUAUUU